GGCUGGAUGGAGCCUGCGCCCCAGGCAGGGAGGCAGCGGGAGCGGGGUGCUAAAUCUUCUCACUUCACUUCACUUCGCUUUUCCACUACCUAACGGCUCCCCCUCAAAAACAGACCAGGACAGACAUUAUUUAAAAAAAAAAAAAGGCAGUGCAGCUCCAAGUCAAUGAUAAGUAACAGCCCCUCCCCUCCCCCAUUUCUAGCCCGGGAAGCUGAGGCGCCACCACAGCCACCGCCCAGAGCCGGCUUCCCGUCAAGAAGAGCCCUUAGCCCGGAGGGGGGAUCCCAGGCGCAGAAGCCAUGUGCGAACCUCUUGUAGGAGCUUAUUUCACCUUUUGAUCUGUGCUAAAACCCACGCAGGGGGGCUGUUGUUGGUAUUGUCAGUAUUAUUAUUAUCAUUAUUAUUAUUAUCAUCAUUAUUAUCAUCAUCCAAUCGACACGAUCUCAACUUUCUGGCCAUCCCGUCCCUGGUUUUCUUUCCCCUUCCCAUUGGGAAUGUCUAGCCCUCUGCAGCCCGCUCCCCAGUUUCCUCCUGGCCAAGUAACCAGGCUUUCCCUUGUCACUGGGCAGGGACAGGAUGGCAGGCAGUUUCUCUUAAGUGGGCAGCCACUUCUGUUAUUAGAAAGGCAUCAGGCGAGGAAAGACCUCUGCCAUCGGGGUGGGGGAAAGGCCCCUUCCAGGCACACAGCACCCCUGCCAAGCCCCGGGCUGGAGGCAGGGCUCAUUAUGACCAGGAAUCACUCCAGGUGAACUGAGGAGAGCACAGGCACCAGAGACUUUGCAGUGGUCUCAGCAGGCAAUAGCAACAGUCGCAUGCAAGGUCCCACUAGACUGCAACACUGAAGUAGUGCGGCCGGGUGCACCAUUUUACUACCCUCUUCUGCUCAAAAAGAAAGGACGGAGGGAAAAAAAGAAACGGCUCGAAAAGAAAGGGAAACAAUUGCCGUACGAUUGGCUCUUCCCUGCAGGAAACAAUCGCUGCUAUGCCCCACGGGUCAGUCCGAAGUCAGGGAUGCAGUAGGCGCAGGAGGUCUCGCAGGUGUUGGCCCUGCUCCGGAGGGUGCGGCCCUCUGCACCCAGGAACAGGCUCUUGCAAAGGGUCCCCAUCCCUCGGCCGCACAUUGCGACUGCCCCGCUAAAUGGUGCAGUCCUCAUCUCCCAGUAUCAGUUCUGCUUUAGGUGACAGUAAAUUAAAUAGCCUUGCUAGUGCAACCCCCCUCCCCUCCCCUCCCCUUCCACCGACACACACGCUUUGCCAGUCAGAAAGGCUUAGCCUGCCACAGAGCCCCUACAUUUGGGGUUUCUAGCUUGUGGCCCCGCAGAGUGUCACAUGCGCAGAGCUGGAAGUGAGAGUUUGAUCUCUGGGCGUGAAACCGAAUGGAGACAGGGAGCUCCCUGCCGGCUCCUGUCCCGGGAAGUGUGUACAGCUCCAGGC